rnacentral:rRNA from 1 species
UACGAAGGGGGCUAGCGUUGCUCGGAAUCACUGGGCGUAAAGGGCGCGUAGGCGGACGUUUAAGUCGGGGGUGAAAUCCUGAGGCUCAACCUCAGAAUUGCCUUCGAUACUGGGCGUCUCGAGACCGGAAGAGGUGAGUGGAACUGCGAGUGUAGAGGUGAAAUUCGUAGAUAUUCGCAAGAACACCAGUGGCGAAGGCGACUUCCUGGCCUGUUCUUGACGCUGAGGCGCGAAAGCUAGGGGUAGGCAAACGGGG